CGGUGGAGCAUGUGGUUUAAUUCGAAGCAACGCGAAGAACCUUACCAGGCCUUGACAUGCAGAGAACUUUCCAGAGAUGGAUUGGUGCCUUCGGGAACUCUGACACAGGUGCUGCAUGGCUGUCGUCAGCUCGUGUCGUGAGAUGUUGGGUUAAGUCCCGUAACGAGCGCAACCCUUGUCCUUAGUUACCAGCACGUUAUGGUGGGCACUCUAAGGAGACUGCCGGUGACAAACCGGAGGAAGGUGGGGAUGACGUCAAGUCGUCAUGGCCCUUACGGCCUGGGCUACACACGUGCUACAAUGGUCGGUACAAAGGGUUGCCAAGCCGCGAGGUGGAGCUAAUCCCAUAAAACCGAUCGUAGUCCGGAUCGCAGUCUGCAACUCGACUGCGUGAAGUCGGAAUCGCUAGUAAUCGUGAAUCAGAAUGUCACGGUGAAUACGUUCCCGGGCCUU
rnacentral:rRNA from 1 species